rnacentral:tRNA from 1 species
AAGGGGGUAGUUUAUAAAAAAAUUUAGAUUUGUCAAGUUUGAGAAGCCCACGGGCCCCCCUUA